rnacentral:rRNA from 1 species
CCUACGGGCGGCAGCAGUGAGGAAUAUUGGUCAAUGGACGAGAGUCUGAACCAGCCAAGUAGCGUGAAGGAUGACUGUCCUCUGGGUUGUAAACUUCUUUUAUCAAGGACUAAAACGACGCUCGUGUGCCUUUUUGCUUCUACUUUCUGCGUAAGGAUCGGCUAACUCCGUCCCAGCAGCCCCGGUAAUACGGGGGUUCCGAGUGUUAUCCGGAAUUUUUGGGUUUAAAGGGAGGGUUUGCCGGUCUUUACGCGUGCGUUGAAAUUUUGUGGGUCAACCAGGAGGGUGCGGUGAGAACUGGAGACCGUGAGUGCGCGGAAGGCAGGCGGAAUUCGUAGUGUAGCGGUGAAAUGCUUAGAUAUCACGAAGAACACCGAUGGCGAAGGCAGCCUGCCGCAGCGUUACUGACGCUGAAGCUCGAAAGCGCGGGUAUCGAACAGGAUUAGAUACCCUAGUAGUC